AUUAUACAGCGAAACUGCGAAUGGCUCAUUAUAUAAGUUAUCGUUUAUUUGAUAGUGCCUUACUACUUGGAUAACCGUGGUAAUUCUAGAGCUAAUACAUGCUAAAAACCCCGACUUCGGAAGGGGUGUAUUUAUUAGAUACAAAACCAAUGCCCUUCGGGGCUCUUUGGUGAUUCAUGAUAACUAUACGAAUCGCACGGCCUUGCGCCGGCGAUGGUUCAUUCAAAUUUCUUCCCUAUCAACUUUCGAUGUUUGGGUCUUGGCCAAACAUGGUUGCAACGGGUAACGGAGGGUUAGGGCUCGACCCCGGAGAAGGAGCCUGAGAAACGGCUACUACAUCCAAGGAAGGCAGCAGGCGCGCAAAUUACCCAAUCCCGACUCGGGGAGGUAGUGACAAUAAAUACUGAUACAGGGCCCUUUCGGGCCUUGUAAUUGGAAUGAGUACAAUUUAAAUCCCUUAACGAGGAACAAUUGGAGGGCAAGUCUGGUGCCAGCAGCCGCGGUAAUUCCAGCUCCAAUAGCGUAUAUUAAAGUUGUUGUGGUUAAAAAGCUCGUAGUUGAACCUUGGGCCUGGCUGGCCGGUCCGCCUCACCGCGUGCACUGGUCCGGCCGGGCCUUUCCCUCUGUGGAACCCCAUACCCUUCACUGGGCGUGGCGGGGAAACAGGACAUUUACUUUGAAAAAAUUAGAGUGCUCCAGGCAGGCCUAUGCUCGAAUACAUUAGCAUGGAAUAAUAAAAUAGGACGCGCGGUUCUAUUUUGUUGGUUUAUAGGACCGCCGUAAUGAUUAAUAGGGACAGUCGGGGGCAUCAGUAUUCAAAUGUCAGAGGUGAAAUUCUUGGAUCAUUUGAAGACUAACUACUGCGAAAGCAUUUGCCAAGGAUGUUUUCAUUAAUCAGGAACGAAAGUUAGGGGAUCGAAGACGAUCAGAUACCGUCGUAGUCUUAACCCUAACUAUGCCGACAAGGAUCGGACGUGUUAUCAGACCCGUUCGGACCCACAAAAAAUAAAAUGCUUGG
rnacentral:rRNA from 1 species